CCUCCGAUCUGAGAUCACCAUGAUGACUUACAAGCAACUCACUGUACUUUGAUGUCGAACUAACUGAGUUUUUAAUUUAGUGAUGAAAUAUUUUUGGGUGCAGUCAAGUAGUUGUCAAGUCGGUGCGUGAGUCAAGAUGGGAUUGAUCCCUCCAAAUUAGUAGGAGCUAAUGUAUCAAUGUAUUUCAAUUUAGCAAAAUAUGGGCCCAAAUAAUCCAUGUGAUAGAUUUGAAAG
rnacentral:lncRNA from 1 species